UAACACAUGCAAGUCGAACGAGAAGCUUCUUCGGAAGUGGAAAGUGGCAGACGGGUGAGUAACGCGUGGGAAUCUGCCCAGAGGUUCGGGACAACCAUUGGAAACGAUGGCUAAUACCGGAUAAGCCCGCAAGGGGAAAGAUUUAUCGCCUUUGGAUGAGCCCGCGUAAGAUUAGCUAGUUGGUAGGGUAAAAGCCUACCAAGGCUACGAUCUUUAGCUGGUCUGAGAGGAUGAUCAGCCACAUUGGGACUGAGACACGGCCCAGACUCCUACGGGAGGCAGCAGUGGGGAAUAUUGCGCAAUGGGGGAAACCCUGACGCAGCCAUGCCGCGUGAGUGACGAAGGCCUUAGGGUUGUAAAGCUCUUUCGCUAGGGAAGAUAAUGACGGUACCUAGUAAAGAAGCCCCGGCUAACUCCGUGCCAGCAGCCGCGGUAAUACGGAGGGGGCUAUCGUUGUUCGGAAUCACUGGGCGUAAAGCGCGCGUAUGCGGACUGAU
rnacentral:rRNA from 1 species